AUUUAUUUGAUCCCACUGAAAAAUUUAAAUAUUAAAAUAUCUUGCACAGUCUACCAAAUGAGUUAAAUCGUUACAGUCGUGUCUACCUCUUAUUUUUCUAUCUGUAUUUAGGCUGCUGUUUUGGUGAGAUUCUAAUUUCUUUUUCCCCUGGAACUACUUUCUGUGGAAGACAAGGAACAGACUGUGGACAGAGGCCUGAAAACAAAUUGGAAGCACUCAGAGAUCUAUUGCUGACCAGCCCUAUUCCUCAUGAGUUGGCGGGGGGAAAGCCAUUGUUUUUAAUUUCCACUUAAUAUGAAAAUGCUUGUUUUUAAAAUGUUUUUUCCUGCUGAACAAAUGUAUUUUUAAAAGGAAAAAAAAAUUCUCUUUUGGCUCUAAGAAGUCAGCUGUAUGAGCAGGCGUGACCAUAUCAUAACAUGCUGAUAUGAUAGAAAUCAAUAAAUUUUUACCUCUCAGGAUCUGGGUAACCUUGUUCUUAACUCUUAGAGGCUUGAGAAACAUAAACCAAGUCUCAACAGUUCAGAUCACAUAGAAACAGACAGACAUAUGGAACGUGGGAGGAGGGUUGGCUAACCGCUGGAAAUGAGAUGGGCCCCUUUCAUGAUCAGAAAAGCACUCUCUAGUAGGUACAAAGGAAGAAACUGGAACAAUGUUUUCUACUAGUGAGCAGGGAGCAUAUCACAGAGCUCAUUUCUGAGUUCUCCCCUGGAAAGAUUUUAGUGCCCCACUUUGGAAUACUUUUUGCCUUUUGGGUGUGGGAGCACUAGAGAUGGAGAUGGUAAAGUUCUCACUGUUGACUUACCGAGGCAAGAGAACACUCAGCCAUUCUUUGAUUGUAGCAGCUGUCUGUGUGGUGUCAUUGAAAAAACCUGGCACUGGGAUACUUCCCUUAAAAUAUCAGUGGUUGCAUCUUUAUUUCCUUGUUGCAUUUUUGAUGGGAAAAUCUCCCUGAAAGGGGUCUUACCUUCAGUUUCUUACCAGUGCACACUAUCAGGACCAGCUGAUGGACAGUUGAGGGAAAAGCAAAUAGGUACCUAGAAGUGGAGAGAUCAGAAGAGCUUGGAGUGCUAGGAAGAGGAAGCCAGGAGUGCUGGAAGACAAAAGGAAGACCAGAGCCUGCUGUCCACAAACAGUGUGGAACUAGAGUAGGUAAUAAAUUCUAGGCCACGAUGGCCACUAGUGCCCAAAUAUCCCUCUGUCAUGGCGCCAUCAAGUGUUAAGGGCUUGUCCAAGUAGGAGCCCAGGAGCAGCAGAACCGGGGACUUCAAUUCGACCUUGGCCCUUUGUUGCAGAAGUCUCAGAAGUUUAUAUCUUGAGAAUUGACACUUUACCUUCCAGUGGCCUUGGAGAGGAAGGACAGCAGGGUUACCUCACCAGCCCAGCUCCAGCUCCCCUUCACCCCCCGCCCAGGUACCUGUCUGACUGCAGCAGGAGAUUCUAGCACAGAGGGUGCCAGCAAGCAGGAGUGCUCAGAGGGUUUCUCAUUUGAAAGGUAUUUACUGUUAGGGGAGAGUGGGAGGAGAGGAGGGGCAGGCAUGGGUGGGCAGAGCAUAGGUACUAGGAAUCUGCAAACCACAGACAAGAAGCAAGUGAAAGUAAAGAUCUGAGGGUUUGCUGUAAGCUGCAUUAGCAGGAGGAGCACUGGGCCUGUGGGAGUGGACACAUGUGUCUCCUUCCAGGGGCUCCUGCCACAGCCUCAGCCCCAGACAUCUCAAGGCUCAGUGUGUGUGUCUGUCUGCCAGUGCACCCCAGGGGGGCCUCAUGGUGAGGCUUCCUCUGCCUGGGUUGCUCCUGGCAUGGCCUCCAGCUUUUC
rnacentral:lncRNA from 1 species